rnacentral:tRNA from 1 species
UACAAGAUGGUUGAGAUUAAACAAUAAACUGUAAAUUUAUAUACGGGCAUAUUACCCUCUUGUGU